GGACCAAGCCGGAGGUUCCCACUAUGAGCCCGGAGUCUGAGCAGCCAGAUGACACAGGAGCUUUGUUUCCAGAACCCUUGGAAAUGUGAAACUCUACAAGAGCACGUGAUUUGAACACAGCAUGUAAUAACGGCUAACGUUUAUCCAGCAUUUCCUCUCAGCCAGGCGAUGUUCCAAGAGCCUUAAGUAUUUUUUUUCCAGGUGAUUGACAGCAUGCCAGGUACUCAGGAUUCCAAGGGAAAAGACACAUGGCCUGCCCUCAAGCUUCCAGGGUACCAUAAAAUACUAUGCAAAUUGCCAAGAGAGGGAAGCAAUUAGUAGUCCUACCCAGCUGUGAUACCUACCAACCAUGGCGUGACCAGAAUGGCAAGAUAUCCACAGAGGCAGCCAACAUGUGAGCAGAUGAAGAGCAUCACAAAAAUCCACAGCUGGACAUAAAGCAGACACCAACAGGUCCUGUGGAGCCCAGCCCCAACAGAACUCCUCCAUCUAUGGUUCUGCAAACACCACCGAAGAAGGGAUGGGAAGAUUGUAAGAUCUAAAACCCCAGGAAGUCUGCUGUAUAACAGUUUCUCCUAGAAAUGUCUGCCUAAGCAAGAUCUGAACAAUGGCAAUAUCAAUAGACAUGUUGGAAGGGAAAAAAAAUCUCAGAGUCACGUCCCUGGAUAAGGAACUACAGGAAACUGAUGACUGCUGAGAAUGAGAGAGUUAUGUUCUAUCGGGAAUAAGCUCCAACAUUAGUCUAUGGUUUAUUUACUGAUUUCUGUUUGAGUGUCCUGUCUAUUAUUGAUACUGGAAUAUUGUAAUCUCCUACUGUUUUAUGUUGCUGUGUAUUUCUCCAGUGCUGCCAAUGUUUGAUUCAUAUAUUUGGAUGCCCUGAGUACAAAUUCUGGUGAAUUGGCUGCUUUCAUUAUUACAUAUACCCUUCUUUGUCUUUCAUGACUUAAAAAAAAAAAAAAACCAAAAAAACCCUUAAAUUAUCUUUUCCUGGUAUGUGAAUAGCAGACUCUCUUCUCUUUUCAUUAUUGUUUGUAAGAAACAUAAUAUUCUAUAUCUUAUUUUUAUCCUGCGCAUGUCUUUAAAUCUAAAGUGUAUCUCUUAUAGAUAGCAAAUAGCUGGAUUUUUGUUGUUGUUGUUGUUGUUAUUGUUUUUAAAUCCAUUCAGAGCAGCAGUUCUCAACCUGUGGGUUGUGAUCCCUUUGACAAACCGCUAUCUCUGAAAAUAAUUACAUUAUGAUUCACAACAGUAGCAAAAUCACAGUUAUGAAA